rnacentral:rRNA from 1 species
AAUGAACGCUGGCGGCAGGCCUAACACAUGCAAGUCGAACGGAUCCUUCGGGAUUAGUGGCGGACGGGUGAGUAACGCGUGGGAACAUACCCAAAGGUACGGAAUAGCCUCGGGAAACUGGGAGUAAUACCGUAUGUGCUCGAAAGAGGAAAGGUUUAUCGCCUUUGGAUUGGCCCGCGUUGGAUUAGGUAGUUGGUGGGGUAAUGGCCUACCAAGCCGACGAUCCAUAGCUGGUUUGAGAGGAUGAUCAGCCACACUGGGACUGAGACACGGCCCAGACUCCUACGGGAGGCAGCAGUGGGGAAUCUUAGACAAUGGGGGAAACCCUGAUCUAGCUAUGCCGCGUGAGUGAUGAAGGCCUUAGGGUUAUAAAGCUCUUUUACCCGGGAUGAUAAUGACAGUACCGGGAGAAUAAGCCCCGGCUAACUCCGUGCCAGCAGCCGCGGUAA